rnacentral:rRNA from 1 species
UAAUACAGAGGGUGCGAGCGUUAAUCGGAUUUACUGGGCGUAAAGGGCGCGUAGGCGGUUAUAUUAGUGUGAUGUGAAAGCCCUGGGCUUAACCUAGGAAGCGCAUCGCAAACGGUAUAGCUAGAGUAUAUGAGAGGGUGGUGGAAUUUCCGGUGUAGCGGUGAAAUGCGUAGAGAUCGGAAGGAACGUCAAUGGCGAAGGCAGCCACCUGGCAUAAUACUGACGCUGAGGCGCGAAAGCGUGGGGAGCGAACAGGAUUAGAUACCCUGGUAGUCCACGCUGUAAACGAUGAGGACUAAAUGUUGGUAGGGGAACCUAUCAGUAUUGAAGCAAACGCGAUAAGUCUUCCGCCUGGGAAGUACGGCCGCAAGGUUG